rnacentral:rRNA from 1 species
UACGUAGGGACCAAGCGUUGUUCGGAUUUACUGGGCGUAAAGGGCGCGUAGGCGGCAAUUCAAGUCAUCUGUGAAAUCUCCGGGCUUAACUCGGAAUGGUCAGGUGAUACUGCUUUGCUAGAGUGCAGAAGGGGCAAUCGGAAUUCUUGGUGUAGCGGUGAAAUGCGUAGAUAUCAAGAGGAACACCUGAGGUGAAGACGGGUUGCUGGGCUGACACUGACGCUGAGGCGCGAAAGCCAGGGGAGCAAACGGG